rnacentral:rRNA from 1 species
UGGGGAAUAUUGGACAAUGGGCGCAAGCCUGAUCCAGCCAUGCCGCGUGUGUGAAGAAGGCCUUUUGGUUGUAAAGCACUUUAAGCGAGGAGGAGGCUACUUGGAUUAAUACUCUAAGAUAGUGGACGUUACUCGCAGAAUAAGCACCGGCUAACUCUGUGCCAGCAGCCGCGGUAAUACAGAGGGUGCGAGCGUUAAUCGGAUUUACUGGGCGUAAAGCGUGCGUAGGCGGCUUCUUAAGUCGGAUGUGAAAUCCCUGAGCUUAACUUAGGAAUUGCAUUCGAUACUGGGAAGCUAGAGUAUGGGAGAUGAUGGUAGAAUUCCAGGUGUAGCGGUGAAAUGCGUAGAGAUCUGGAGGAAUACCGAUGGCGAAGGCAGCCAUCUGGCCUAAUACUGACGCUGAGGUACGAAAGCAUGGGGAGCAAACAGG